rnacentral:rRNA from 1 species
GAAAGUAAGAUUAAUACCCGGCGGUCUCGGACGGCCGCAUGACUGUCCGAGUGAAGAUUUAUCGGUAUGAGAUGGCGAUGCGUCCCAUUAGCUUGUUGGUGAGGUAACGGCUCACCAAGGCAUCGAUGGGUAGGGGUUCUGAGAGGAAGGUCCCCCACAUUGGAACUGAGACACGGUCCAAACUCCUACGGGAGGCAGCAGUGAGGAAUAUUGGUCAAUGGACGAAAGUCUGAACCAGCCAAGUAGCGUGCAGGAUGACGGCCCUCUGGGUUGUAAACUGCUUUUAGUUGGGAAUAAAAAGAGGGACGUGUCCCUUAUUGUAUGUACCAUCAGAAAAAGGACCGGCUAAUUCCGUGCCAGCAGCCGCGGUAAUACGGAAGGUCCAGGCGUUAUCCGGAUUUAUUGGGUUUAAAGGGAGCGCAGGCGGCGGCGUAAGUCAGUUGUGAAAUCGUGCGGCUUAACCGUGCAAUUGCAGUUGAUACUGCGUCGCUUGAGUGCACACAGGGAUGUUGGAAUUCAUGGUGUAGCGGUGAAAUGCUUAGAUAUCAUGAAGAACUCCGAUCGCGAAGGCAUAUGUCCGGAGUGCAACUGACGCUGAGGCUCGAAAGUGUGGGUAUCAAACAGGAUUAGAUACCCUGGUAGUCCACACAGUAAACGAUGAAUACUCGCGGUUGGUUCGUUAGAAUCAGCCGC